rnacentral:rRNA from 1 species
ACGGCUCAGUAACACGUGGACAACCUACCCUAAGGAGGGGGGUAACCCCGGGAAACUGGGGAUAAUACCCCAUAGACUAGAGAAGCUGGAAUGCUCUCAAGUCCAAAGGUCCGCCGCCUUAGGAUGGGUCUGCGGUCGAUUAGGUUGUUGUUGGGGUAACAGCCCAACAAGCCCGUGAUCGAUACGGGUUGUGAGAGCAAGAGCCCGGAGAUGGAUUCUGAGACACGAAUCCAGGCCCUACGGGGCGCAGCAGGCGCGAAAACUUUACAAUGCGGGAAACCGUGAUAAGGGAACCCCGAGUGCCCGUAAAUUCGGGCUGUCCAUCAGCGUAAAUAACUGGUGAAGAAAGGGCCGGGCAAGACCGGUGCCAGCCGCCGCGGUAAUACCGGCGGCUCGAGUGGUGGCCACUAUUAUUGGGCUUAAAGCGUCCGUAGCUUGGUUGUUAAGUCUCUUGGGAAAUCUACCGGCUCAACCGGUAGGCGUUCAGGAGAUACUGGCAAUCUAGGGACCGGGAGAGGUGAGAGGUACUCCAGGGGUAGGAGUGAAAUCCUGUAAUCCUUGGGGGACCACCUGUGGCGAAGGCGUCUCACUAGAACGGCUCCGACAGUGAGGGACGAAAGCUGGGGGAGCAAACCGGAUUAGAUACCCGGGUAGUCCCAGCUGUAAACGAUGCGCGUUAGGUGUAUCGGUGACCACGAGUCACCGAGGUGCCGAAGGGAAACCGUGAAACGUGCCGCCUGGGAAGUACGGUCGCAAGGCUGAAACUUAAAGGAAUUGGCGGGGGAGCAC